rnacentral:rRNA from 1 species
UGGGGAAUAUUGCACAAUGGGGGAAACCCUGAUGCAGCAACGCCGCGUGAGUGAAGAAGUAUUUCGGUAUGUAAAGCUCUAUCAGCAGGGAAGAAGGAAGACGGUACCUGACUAAGAAGCCCCGGCUAACUACGUGCCAGCAGCCGCGGUAAUACGUAGGGGGCGAGCGUUAUCCGGAUUUACUGGGUGUAAAGGGAGCGUAGACGGUUAAUCAAGUCUGAAGUGAAAGCCCGCGGCUCAACUGCGGAACGGCUUUGGAAACUGAGUAACUGGAGUGCUGGAGGGGCAGGCGGAAUUCCUGGU